AUUGAACGCUGGCGGCAGGCCUAACACAUGCAAGUCGAGCGGAUGAAGGGAGCUUGCUCCUGGAUUCAGCGGCGGACGGGUGAGUAAUGCCUAGGAAUCUGCCUGGUAGUGGGGGAUAACGUCCGGAAACGGGCGCUAAUACCGCAUACGUCCCGAGGGAGAAAGUGGGGGAUCUUCGGACCUCACGCUAUCAGAUGAGCCUAGGUCGGAUUAGCUAGUUGGUGGGGUAAAGGCCUACCAAGGCGACGAUCCGUAACUGGUCUGAGAGGAUGAUCAGUCACACGGGAACUGAGACACGGUCCAGACUCCUACGGGAGGCAGCAGUGGGGAAUAUUGGACAAUGGGCGAAAGCCUGAUCCAGCCAUGCCGCGUGUGUGAAGAAGGUCUUCGGAUUGUAAAGCACUUUAAGUUGGGAGGAAGGGCAGUAAGUUAAUACCUUGCUGUUUUGACGUUACCAACAGAAUAAGCACCGGCUAACUUCGUG
rnacentral:rRNA from 1 species